rnacentral:rRNA from 1 species
UGUCCAGACUCCUACGGGAGGCAGCAGUGGGGGAUAUUGCACAAUGGGGGAAACCCUGAUGCAGCGACGCCGCGUGGGCGAAGAAGUAUUUCGGUAUGUAAAGCCCUAUCAGCAGGGAAGAAGAAGUGACGGUACCUGAGUAAGAAGCACCGGCUAAAUACGUGCCAGCAGCCGCGGUAAUACGUAUGGUGCAAGCGUUAUCCGGAUUUACUGGGUGUAAAGGGAGCGCAGGCGGCACGGCAAGCCUGAUGUGAAAUACCGGGGCUCAACCCCGGGACUGCAUUUGGAACUGUUAAGCUGGAGUGUCGGAGAGGCAGGCGGAAUUCCUAGUGUAGCGGUGAAAUGCGUAGAUAUUAGGAGGAACACCAGUGGCGAAGGCGGCCUGCUGGACGAUAACUGACGUUGAGGCUCGAAAGCGUGGGGAGCAAACAGGAUUAGAUACCCGAGUA